AACCCAUGUUGUAGAUAUUUCCACAAGAGGUCUUUCAACCUUUAGCAUAUCUCAAAGAGAGACUCCAAUUCCGUUUGCGCAAAAGAAGAGAUCUUAUUUCUAAGCUU